GAUGAACGCUGGCGGCGUGCCUAAUACAUGCAAGUCGAGCGAACGGACGAGAAGUUUGCUUCUCUGAUGUUAGCGGCGGACGGGUGAGUAACACGUGGAUAACCUACCUAUAAGACUGGGAUAACUUCGGGAAACCGGAGCUAAUACCGGAUAAUAUUUUGAACCGCAUGGUUCAAAAGUGAAAGACGGUCUUGCUGUCACUUAUAGAUGGAUCCGCGCUGCAUUAGCUAGUUGGUAAGGUAACGGCUUACCAAGGCAACGAUGCAUAGCCGACCUGAGAGGGUGAUCGGCCACACUGGAACUGAGACACGGUCCAGACUCCUACGGGAGGCAGCAGUAGGGAAUCUUCCGCAAUGGGCGAAAGCCUGACGGAGCAACGCCGCGUGAGUGAUGAAGGUCUUCGGAUCGUAAAACUCUGUUAUUAGGGAAGAACAUAUGUGUAAGUAACUGUGCACAUCUUGACGGUACCUAAUCAGAAAGCCACGGCUAACUACGUG
rnacentral:rRNA from 1 species